rnacentral:rRNA from 1 species
AAUUUUGGACAAUGGGGGAAACCCUGAUCCAGCCAUCCCGCGUGUAUGAUGAAUGCCUUAGGGUUGUAAAGUACUUUUGUCAGAGAAGAAAAGGUAUCUCCUAAUACGAGAUACUGCUGACGGUAUCUGCAGAAUAAGCACCGGCUAACUACGUACCAUCAGCCGCGGUAAUACGUAGGGAGCAAUCGUUAAUAGUAAUUACUGGGCGUAAAGCGUGUGUAGGCAGUUCGGAAAGAAAGAUGUGAAAUCCCAGGGCUCAACCUUGGAACUGCAUUUUUAACUGCCGAGCUAGAGUAUGUCAGAGGGGGGUAGAAUUCCACGUGUAGCAGUGAAAUGCGUAGAUAUGUGGAGGAAUACCGAUGGCGAAGGCAGCCCCCUGGGAUAAUACUGACGCUCAGACACGAAAGCGUGGGGAGCAAACAGG